GACGAACGCUGGCGGCGUGCUUAACACAUGCAAGUCGAACGAUGAAGCCGGAGCUUGCUCUGGUGAAUUAGUGGCGAACGGGUGAGUAACACGUGAGUAACCUGCCCUUGACUCUGGGAUAACGGCGGGAAAUUGUAGCUAAUACCGGAUACGACCCUCGGAGGCAUCUCCUGGGGGUGGAAAGAAUUUCGGUCAAGGAUGGACUCGCGGCCUAUCAGCUAGUUGGUGAGGUAAAGGCUAACCAAGGCGCGGACGGGUAGCCGGCCUGAGCGGGUGACCGGCCACACUGGGACUGGUACACGGCCCAGACUCCUACGGGAGGCAGCAGUGGGGAAUAUUGCACAAUGGGCGCAAGCCUGAUGCAGCAACGCCGCGUGAGGGAUGACGGCCUUCGGGUUGUAAGCCUCUUUUAGCAGGGAAGAAGCGAAAGUGACGGUACCUGCAGAAAAAGCACCGGCUAACUACGUGCCAGCCGCCGCCGUAA
rnacentral:rRNA from 1 species